AUGUCCACAGAACAGAUAUCACCAGCGGGGUCUACAACAGUUUUUCUAGAGCUUCCAUCUGGUCAAGGUGCAGUCAUUAAGGGCAACAGUUUCCCAGAAAUGCAGUUAACUCUGUAUUGGUGUUUGAAGAGUUUUGGCUUUCACCAAAAUACCUCAAAUGCAGAAGUAAAUACAUCUAGAGGAGUUAGAGUUUCAAAUCACAAUGUGGAAAGAGGGAAGAGGAGGAAGAAUCGUUCUAUGUCAGAGGAGACCUCUAUCAUUAUUCUAGCUCUGCUGACAACACAGAAUGCAC
rnacentral:lncRNA from 1 species